rnacentral:rRNA from 1 species
AUUGAACGCUGGCGGCAGGCCUAACACAUGCAAGUCGAGCGAGCGGCGGACGGGUGAGUAAUGUAUGGGGAUCUGCACGAUAGAGGGGGAUAACUAAUGGAAACGGUGGAUAAUACCGCAUAUGAUCGGCUGAACCCAUAGGGGAUGAGCUAGUAGGUGGGGAAAAGGCUAACAUAGGCGACGAUCCCUAGCUGUGCUGAGAGGAUGAUCAGCCACACUGGGACUGAGACACGGCCCAGACUCCUACGGGAGGCAGCAGUGGGGAAUAUUGCACAAUGGGCGAAAGCCUGAUGCAGCCAUGUCGCGUGUAUGAAGAAGGCCUUAGGGUUGUAAAGUACUUUCAGCGGGGAGGCGUUACCCGCAGAAGAAGCACCGGCUAACUCCGUGCCAGCAGCCGCGGUAAUAC